rnacentral:snRNA from 1 species
ACUCAUACCUUGCAGAGGAGAUACCAUUAUUGUAAAAGUGGUUUUCCCAGGCUCAUCUAUUGCACUUUGGAUGUGCUGACCCCUGUGAUUUCCCCAAAUGUGGGAAAAUCAACUGCGUAAGUGGGGGACUGUGUUUGUGUUUUCCCCUG